CAGGCAUGCUGGAGUCUCGCCAGCGGCGCCUGGGUUCGCAGAAGCCCGACACCGGACGAGGCAGAA
rfam:Kaistia sp. SCN 65-12 ABS35_C0092, whole genome shotgun sequence.